rnacentral:rRNA from 1 species
AACGUAGGACGCAAGCGUUAUCCGGAGUUACUGGGCGUAAAGCGCGGGCAGGCGGCUCGAUGCGUCUGAUGUGAAAUCUCCUCGCUCAACGGGGAGAGGCCAUUGGAAACGGACGAGCUGGAGGGCAGUAGAGGUAGGCGGAAUUCCGGGUGGAGUGGUGAAAUGCGUAGAGAGUCCGGAGGAACACCAGCGGCGAAGGCGGCAUCCUGGACUGGUCCUGACACUCAUGAGCGAAAGCGUGGGGAGCGAUCCGG